rnacentral:rRNA from 1 species
CUGCUUCCAGGAAAAGCCUCUAAGCCUCAGGUAACAUCAGAUCGUACCCGAAACCGACACAGGUGGUCAGGUAGAGAAUACCAAGGCGCUUGAGAGAACCCGGGUGAAGGAACUAGGCAAAAUGGUGCCGUAACUUCGGGAGAAGGCACGCUGACAUGUAGGUGAAGCGGUUUACCCGUGGAGCUGAAGUCAGUCGAAGAUACCAGCUGGCUGCAACUGUUUAUUAAAAACACAGCACUGUGCAAACACGAAAGUGGACGUAUACGGUGUGACGCCUGCCCGGUGCCGGAAGGUUAAUUGAUGGGGUCAGCGCAAGCGAAGCUCCUGAUCGAAGCCCCGGUAAACGGCGGCCGUAACUAUAACGGUCCUAAGGUAGCGAAAUUCCUUGUCGGGUAAGUUCCGACCUGCACGAAUGGCGUAAUGAUGGCCAGGCUGUCUCCACCCGGGACUCAGUGAAAUUGAACUCGCUGUGAAGAUGCAGUGUACCCGCGGCAAGACGGAAAGACCCCGUGAACCUUUACUAUAGCUUGACACUGAACACUGGUCCUUGAUGUGCAGGAUAGGUGGGAGGCUUUGAAGUGUGGACGCCAGUCUGCAUGGAGCCGUCCUUGAAAUACCACCCUUUAAUGGCUGGUGUUCUAACGUAGACCCGUGAACCGGGUUGCGGACAGUGUCUGGUGGGUAGUUUGACUGGGGCGGUCUCCUCCUAAAGCGUAACGGAGGAGCACGAAGGUUGGCUAAUCCUGGUCGGACAUCAGGAGGUUAGUGCAAUGGCAUAAGCCAGCUUGACUGCGAGCGUGACGGCGCGAGCAGGUGCGAAAGCAGGUCAUAGUGAUCCGGUGGUUCUGAAUGGAAGGGCCAUCGCUCAACGGAUAAAAGGUACUCCGGGGAUAACAGGCUGAUACCGCCCAAGAGUUCAUAUCGACGGCGGUGUUUGGCACCUCGAUGUCGGCUCAUCACAUCCUGGGGCUGAAGUAGGUCCCAAGGGUAUGGCUGUUCGCCAUUUAAAGUGGUACGCGAGCUGGGUUUAGAACGUCGUGAGACAGUUCGGUCCCUAUCUGCCGUGGGCGCUGGAGAACUGAGGGGGGCUGCUCCUAGUACGAGAGGACCGGAGUGGACGCAUCACUGGUGUUCGGGUUGUCAUGCCAAUGGCACUGCCCGGUAGCUAAAUGCGGAAGAGAUAAGUGCUGAAAGCAUCUAAGCACGAAACUUGCCCCG